rnacentral:lncRNA from 1 species
AAUUUUCUCAAUAAAAUUCAAAAAAAUUAAUAAAAAUACAUAAUAAACAAUUGAUAUAUUUUGUUGAUAAAGAAAAUAAAUAUUUUAUAUUAUUACGUGUCGGUAUAUAUUUAUAUUUUGUGACCGGCAUGUAUCGAUAAGAUUCAGCACGCGCCGUGCCAUAUCGCGCGAGGAAAUUUUCGACACAAUUUCAUAUCAUGACACUUAAAUUUUUACUCUAUAUUAUAUAUUAAUUUAGAUUUAUUUUGUAUCCAACGCGAAAUUAUUAUUUUUAAUACUCUUACGCAGCGUUUGGUUCGGGUAUAAGCAAGAACUAGCUAUUACAGGGAUAGGUACAAGUAUGGGGAUAAAAAAAAAAACGUUCAGAUGAAAAUUAGAUUGUUCCCGGGGAUAAAAAAAAUAACGUUUGGAUAGAUGAUAUGGAAGAAGAAAAUAGUAUGUAGUUUUAUAUAGAAAAUGAAAGUGUUAGUGGGGAUAGUUAUACCCGAUUAUUAUAGGUAACCGAGAACUACUAACACGUGGU